CCUACGGGGGGCAGCAGUGGGGAAUAUUGCACAAUGGGGGAAACCCUGAUGCAGCGACGCCGCGUGAGUGAAGAAGUAAUUCGUUAUGUAAAGCUCUAUCAGCAGGGAAGAAAAUGACGGUACCUGAAUAAGAUGCCCCGGGCAACUACGUGACAGCAGCCGCGGUAAUACGUAGGGGGCACGCGUUAUCCGGAUUUACUGGGGGUAAAGGGAUCGUAGUCGGCAGUGCAAGUCUGGAGUGAAAGGCGGGGGCUCAAUCCCCGGACUGCUCUGGAAACUGUACGGCUGGAGUGCAGGAGAGGUAAGUGGAAUUCCUGGUGUAGCGGUGAAAUGCGUAGAUAGUAGGAGGAACACCAGUGGCGAAGGCGGCUUACUGGACUGUAACUGACGUUGAGGCUCGAAAGCGUGGGGAGCAAACAGGAUUAGAUACCCGUGUAGUC
rnacentral:rRNA from 1 species